rnacentral:rRNA from 1 species
CCUACGUGGGGCAGCAGUGGGGAAUAUUGGACAAUGGGGGGAACCCUGAUCCAGCCAUGCCGCGUGUGUGAAGAAGGCCCUCGGGUUGUAAAGCACUUUCAGUGAGGAAGAACGCCUGGUGGUUAAUACCCAUCAGGAAAGACAUCACUCACAGAAGAAGCACCGGCUAACUCCGUGCCAGCAGCCGCGGUAAUACGGAGGGUGCGAGCGUUAAUCGGAAUUACUGGGCGUAAAGCGCGCGUAGGUGGCUUGAUAAGCCGGUUGUGAAAGCCCCGGGCUCAACCUGGGAACGGCAUCCGGAACUGUGAAGCUAGAGUGCAGGAGAGGAAGGUAGAAUUCCCGGUGUAGCGGUGAAAUGCAUAGAGAUCGGGAGGAAUACCAGUGGCGAAGGCGGCCUUCUGGACUGACACUGACACUGAGGUGCGAAAGCGUGGGUAGCAAACAGGAUUAGAUACCCCAGUAGUC